rnacentral:lncRNA from 11 species
GGCAAUGGUCAACAGCCAAAUCUGUUGGACUUCUCCUCAAUAAUAAGAACUGGAAUUACGAAACGUUUUUCAAAAAUUCCAAGGUUAAAGCCAGCUACGGACAAAAGAUGAGUUUACAUCAAAACUGUCGUCGAAGUCAUCUAGAUGUCGCAACGAAUAGGAAAAGCCAGCAGCGCAGUUAUCGUCGCAAGCGGAUAAUAUACACUGAAAGUGAUUCCUACGUGUAAGGACUAUUUUUGCCUAAUGACAUCGAUCAGUGCAUCUGGCCAACACAGAGAGGUCAAUUUCUUACUUGCAAGCAACAACAUGCCCGAUGCCAGCUGCUUACAAAAUGUCCACCUGAAAAGGUCGGCUACGUUCUCAUCAAAGUUAUAACGCUAACGGUCAGAGGUGGUGUGAACUCUUAACGCGGGUGGUAUUUAGGCCCUUGCAACGGACAGGCCCUAAAUAGGCCGUGGUCAGUCCAUUGGUGCCCACGCAUUUCCACUUACGAGACAUACGGCUUCUGGAGAAUGGCCAUAACAAUUUCGAAAUCAUCAUCAGGAUACAUUUUGUGGUUGCACGGACUAUCCAAUUAUCGACCCUCUUCUCUAUAUUGUCCUCGUAAGGUCAAUAACCUGUUCCUUUUGUCUGUGCCGUAAGCUUUACUAUGGUCAUUUUUUUUAUUAUGGGGUGUUGCACUAUUCUUAAAUAAAGCGUGAAAUUAUGCUUAUUUGAUUUAUGAAUUUUAUUAUUACAGUAUAAGUGCAAUAGCUCAAAUGCAAUAUACUUAUUAUAGGUAAAUGCAACUGGAAGAGCAAACAAGCUAAUCAUGAAACACGUAUUCACACCUUUAUAUAAUUAAAUCUACAGUGUUGCAUAAAACAUGAAAGUACUUAUUCAAGAUAUGUGGUAGCGUCUUUAUACGGUAAUUUAUAAAUUACGCAUUAUAAUACGUCAAUCAGGUAGUUUCCUUCCUGCGGAGAUGGCACACCAUGAUUUAGGCACUUAAAAUACUUUUAAACGAUACCAGUACUUAUUUCCGAAGAAGUAAUAAUAUGUCAGAAAAAUAUUGAAUUAAUCCUGAACUCCUCAAUUCAAAUAACCGGCCACUACACUAACGGGAGAAUACAAUUUUUCUAUUUAUUGACAAUACUCGUAAACUCCUUUACGAAGGCGCUGCGCUAACGAACUAGUAUGUACCAAUCUAAAAAUGAAAAUCUAUAUGAAAUAUCCUUAAAUAUUCAGUAGACGUACUUUUAGAUGAAGCAUAGUAUUUACACUUGUGUUACAUUGGGCGAGUAGUAAUGUUAACAGACAAAAUAUAAAUUCGCCCGCGUGUUCUUCGCAACACGACCUCGUUUGUAAAUAAGAACACCGAAAAAAUUUCAGUUGUUUUAAUUGAUUUAAAGACCCCUGACCUAAUCCUGUUUGCGACGUAUUCAAACACGUCCAAUACAGACGAUUACGAUUAGGAUCUAGUUGGCAGAAAAUUUUUCUAAGCAGAUUUGCGAAGAGAUGUCACUUCUUUUUGAAAAGCCCUCUCAAAGAUACGUCCUUGGUUGAGUUUCAUUAGUAGUGGCGGUAUUUUUGAAUUUCAGACGCGCCAAUCAGUCGCGAGUAUAAAGGUAUCUAAAACUGUGUAUAUAUAAGUACAUUUGUUUUUAACAUCCGACUGGUCAUGUUCUACAGCCCGGGAUUAAAUGACUUCAGCAGAUCAACCCGAGUCACUCAUCUAAUCGAGAAAAUCUGUAAAACGGGUUUCUUUAUAGAAACGCAUGUUUGUGGUCGUCUUUAGUCCUAAUAAACCUAAUCUCAAAAGUCCUACCUACCUAAAAAUCAACCUAAAAACUAUUUAAGGUUGCGAAGAUUUCUAUAUUUUAAUUUGAAGCGUUUCAGUUACUUUGGUAUUUUUAUAAACGUGUUUAAGGGGAAAUUCUAAAGCUCACAGACAAGAAGUACUAUCUCUACACGGCAGAUGUGAUUAAAUAAAGAAAGCUAGUAUUGACUUACUCUUUGCUCAAGUAUUUCAGCCGUCUUAUUUUAUAGUUUAUAUCUUUAAAAAUAAUCCGAAACUAAAAGUGGUUUUCAGGGGAAGAAAGAUCGACUGUAAGUCUGCAAUUAAAUCCAGCGACUAUCGAAAUGCAAUGCUAUAUCCUGUUUCCACUUCAUGGGCCUUAUUUGCUUUAUCAUAUCACUGAGAUAAGUAGGUUUAACAUGCUUCAAAUGAGCGUAAGAUUAUAUCUAUUUUCAUUAAAAAAGACUCAGAUGGACAAGAAUCAGCAUUGCCUAAAUUCCGUUUCACUAAAUCAACGUUUAUAGUCGAAUGGCAGAAAAAGGUAGCACGAUGAAAUACCCUAAUAACGAUGCUAAACCCAUUCAAGUAUUAGGUGCACUUCUACAAUGAGCAGAAUCAAACUACGGUUAGCCCAAAAUAUUUUUAAUGAUUUGGACAAGUGGCAUCAUGGCCGCGUUCGGUCACUGCUUUCGGUGAGCAGAUCUGUAUUAUAUGAGGAUUGACCGAUAGAUUUUAGCACUUUUAAUUCUAUCGCUAAGUAGAUAGUAUGUUAUGUAAAUAGUAGUAUGUUUAGAUAAAAAAUGAGGUUUCUAACAACGUAUUUCUAGUUUAAAGCAUUAUCUCACCAUAUACCUUUUGUUUUGAACUGGUUAAGGGUAACAAGUUUUUUCAAGAAAAAAUUGUUUUUAAAAAUUGUAAACAAUGUAGAUUGUUAAAUAUACAGGACCGAGCUGUGAAUAAGAAUGUAGCUUUUACAAACCGAAUCAUUUCAAAAGCUGUUUUUGAAAUUCUCACGGUUCUAACAAGGCUUCAGCUCUGGCCAGUACUUGGUCCUUGCUCACGGGAAUGUGACAUUGUAAUGUUAAUACGGAUUGUUUUGCUAGUAUUUAUCUUCCACUUGUUUCCGUGUUCAUUGCAAAUGCGUCAUUAUAUGCCUUGUAUCUACGAAAUACUGCUUGAAAAAUUUUCAUUUUAGUAAAGUCCUAGAAAUCAUUGAUCUGGUUUCAUAUAGGGACUGAAACGGGAAAUUAUUUUGACAUAAGGGUACGCAUUGACUAUUUUGAUCUGGCUUGGAUUUGUUUCUUACAGCUUUUCUUGUUUAAAUCUUUUCGUCAUCGUCGUCGUGCAUCGUAGUCGAACAUCUUAGUUUAAGGAGGCAGAAAGACACUCCGGGUGGAAGCGCAGUAUGUAUAUAAAACGUGAUAAAAUAAGCCAUCCUUUGAACAGCUUCUUUGUAAUUUAGCCCCGUUUUCUCUGUGCUUUCUACGCAGCAUAUUGUAUCAGUGUUCCCAUGAGGGAGACAGGGUCAUCUGACCCUCAAAAGUUCAUUUCGAUCAUCAUUUGACAGGAACAGUGCUUUCCACACAAUGAUCAUGUAAUCUCGCAACAAACGAGGGUUUAACAUUGGUGAACUUUUUGCCGAGUAUUCGAUCUUUAGAAAGGCAUUAUCUACCUGUCGAAUUUGAAAAAAUAUGACAUUAAAACAAUUGUUUCAGCGUAAUCGUUUCUCUCGCUAGAAUCAUUACAUUACACGAAUAAUACUCAGUUUCAUUUUUUCUAUUCGCUAGACCAUUCCUACGACACUGGAUGAAAUCGUGACUACUGCACAAAUUGUAUUGAAGUUAUUAUAUGGAAAGCGUUCUUACAGAAAAAGGAGAUCCAAUGGUUAAGCCGAGCAGCUAUUUUUUUAGGUCUUAAGUUACUAGCAAAUUGUGCUACGGUGAGUCGGUAAUCAAUGCGAUAAGUUUAUAGAAUCUUCAUAAUGUCAAACAAAAUGCCUAGAAUGAAUAAAAAUCUUAACAU